rnacentral:rRNA from 1 species
AGGAUGAACGCUGGCGGCGUGCCUAAGACAUGCAAGUCGAGUGGGUUUAGACCCACGGCGAACGGGUGAGUAAUACCUAGGAACUUUCUUUAAGUGGAGCAUAACUAGUCGAAAGAUUAGAUAAUACUUCAUGUGGCAGUAAUGCUAAAGUCGCAAGACGCUUAAAGUGAGGCCUGGGCACCAUCAGCUAGUUGGUAAGGUAAUGGCUUACCAAGGCUAUGACGGUUAGGGGUCCCGAGAGGGAUAACCCCCACACUGGAACUGCGACACGGUCCAGACUCCUACGGGAGGCAGCAGUUUGGAAUUUUGGACAAUGGGCGAAAGCCUGAUCCAGCGACGCCGCGUGGACGAUGAAGGCCUUCGGGUCGUAAAGUCCUUUUGCUCGGGAACAAUAUUUUGAGCGUACCGAGAGAAUAAGAGGUUGCUAACUCUGUGCCAGCAGCCG